rnacentral:rRNA from 1 species
CCUACGGGGGGCAGCAGUAGGGAAUCUUUCACAAUGGGCGAAAGCCUGAUGGAGCAACGCCGCGUGCAGGAUGAAGGCCUUCGGGUUGUAAACUGCUUUUAUAAGCGAGAAAUAUGAUGGUAACUUAUGAAUAAGGAUCGGCUAACUACGUGCCAGCAGCCGCGGUCAUACGUAGGAUCCGAGCAUUAUCCGGGGUGACUGGGUGUAAAGAGUUGCGUAGGUGGCAUAAUAAGUAGCUAGUGAAAUCUGGUGGCUCAACCAUUCAGACUAUUAGCUAAACUGUUAAGCUCGAGACCGUUAGGGGUAACUGGAAUUUCUAGUGUAGGAGUGAAAUGCGUAGAUAUUAGAAGGAACACCAAUAGCGUAGGCAGGUUACUGGGACGGUUCUGACACUAAGGCACGAAAGCGUAGGGAGCAAACGGGAUUAGAUACCCGAGUAGUC